CAGCAGCCGCGGUAAUACGUAGGUCCCGAGCGUUGUCCGGAUUUAUUGGGCGUAAAGCGAGCGCAGGCGGUUUAAUAAGUCUGAAGUUAAAGGCAGUGGCUUAACCAUUGUUCGCUUUGGAAACUGUUAGACUUGAGUGCAGAAGGGGAGAGUGGAAUUCCAUGUGUAGCGGUGAAAUGCGUAGAUAUAUGGAGGAACACCGGUGGCGAAAGCGGCUCUCUGGUCUGUAACUGACGCUGAGGCUCGAAAGCGUGGGGAGCAAACAGG
rnacentral:rRNA from 1 species